UACGUAGGGUGCAAGCGUUAAUCGGAAUUACUGGGCGUAAAGCGUGCGCAGGCGGUUAUGUAAGACAGAUGUGAAAUGCCCGGGCUUAACCUGGGAACUGCAUGUGUGACUGCAUGGCUAGAGUUUGGCAGAGGUUGGCGGUACUCUUGGGGUAGGAUUGAAAACCGCAAAACCCAAGGGGACUCACAAUGGCGAAGGCAGCUAACCGGGCUCUAACUGACGCUGAGGUACGGAGGCAUGGGGAUCGAACAGG
rnacentral:rRNA from 1 species